AACGAACGCUGGCGGCAGGCUUAACACAUGCAAGUCGAACGCCCCGCAAGGGGAGUGGCAGACGGGUGAGUAACGCGUGGGAAUCUGCCCAUCUCUGCGGACUAGCUCUGGGAAACUGGAAUUAAUACCGCAUACGCCCUACGGGGGAAAGAUUUAUCGGGGAUGGAUGAGCCCGCGUUGGAUUAGCUAGUUGGGGGGGUAAAGGCCUACCAAGGCGACGAUCCAUAGCUGGUCUGAGAGGAUGAUCAGCCACAUUGGGACUGAGACACGGCCCAGACUCCUAAGGGAGGCAGCAGUGGGGAAUAUUGGACAAAGGGCGCAAUCCUGAUCCAGCAAUGCCGCGUGAGUGAUGAAGGCCUUAGGAUUGUAAAGCUCUUUCACCGAUGAAGAUAAUGACGGUAGUCGGAGAAGAAGCCCCGGCUAACUUCGUGCCAGCAGCCGCCGUAA
rnacentral:rRNA from 1 species